rnacentral:rRNA from 1 species
AUACGGAGGGUGCAAGCGUUACUCGGAAUCACUGGGCGUAAAGCGCGCGCAGGCGGGCUGAUAAGUUGGGUGUGAAAGCCUACGGCUCAACCGUAGAACUGCAUCCAAAACUGUCAGUCUAGAGUGUGGGAGAGGAAGAUGGAAUUAGUUGUGUAGGGGUAAAAUCCGUAGAGAUAACUAGGAAUACCAAAAGCGAAGGCAAUCUUCUGGAACACUACUGACGCUGAGGCGCGAAGGCGUGGGGAGCAAACAGGAUUAGAAACCCUUGUAGUCC